ACUUCCCAAAGAAGGUGAUGCCGAAGCUGAGGUCGGAAAUUACGAAGAUCAGCUAUCAAACUUGGAAAUCAUGUCUUAGAGAUCAAGGAGCCAAGAGAUGAGACAAGCCUGGGUUCCUAGGUGAUAGGGUGUGGCUGUGUCCCCACCCAAAUCUCGUCUUGAAUUGUAGCUCCCAUAAUCCCCACAUGUUGUGGAGGGACCCUGUGGAAGUGCAGCCCUGGCCAGAGAGGGCAGAAGCCAUUUAUUGUGGAUGCAAAGCUGUGACUAUGGCUGCCUGAACAGUGUGAUAUAUGUUCUCUAUCUCUGCUUUUAUAAGGCAGCUGUUUCUCGGAGGAUCAAGCUCAGGAUAAGUCAAUUGAGCUUCACUUCUCUAAUUGAAAUCACCGUGCUGAUGGAGUCUGUCUGUGGAAAUGAAAGGUGGCUACCAUAAUCUGUUGGGAGUUGAAUUAAUCCUCUGGGAGUGAGGCUGACCUAAUUACUCAGAAAUACUGGGCUUGCUUUCAUUCUGUGGAAUACAGCCAUGAGAAAGAGGCCAGCAUGCCAUUUCCUAAUCUUUUCUUGAAUUGCCUGAAACUCACCUAACAUGAAACUGAGAAGCCUUUUCAUUUGAAAGUGGUAUUUCUUAUGUUUUUUAUCUUUUUGCUUGAAAGUAUUCUUAAACUAAAGAAAGGAGAAACAGAAAAGGUGAAGAAGCCAAGAGGCUGGAGUUUCCUUUUGAAUGGAUAUUCAUCCAUGAAGCUGUUGAUUCUGUUUUUCUGUUCCUCCAGAUGUCUACACUUUUACCUCUGCUUGCCUGAUACAACCACCACCAGUCACCUCACAGAAUAACUCACUCCUUAAGAAUCUGAUCAGGAAUCAGCCUUCCCUGAUCACAAACACUGAGUUUAGAAGUCCCUCCACAGUGUCCCCCGUAACCCUGUGCUACCUCACUGCCUCAUAGUUUAGUGCCGUUUGUGUACAUGCCUAUCUUCGUCCAUGGAUCCAGAACAACUUGUAAAAAUGACUGUACUUAUCACCUUCAGUAUUCAAUGACUAAACUAUAAUUUUAACAUAUCUGGCAGAAUGAAUCACUUGGGGAUUUCUGCCAACACUACCAAUAUAUUACUCCUAAUUUGUAAUUAUUACUUAGCAUGGAUUAUAGUACCGGCUGUUGGAGAGCCAAUGUGGCAGACCCUAAGUGGAAUAAAAUGUCAGUAGCAGUCUAGGAGCAUAUAUUUAUUGGAAUAGAUCAUUCAUUCAUUUGUUCAUUAACUAAUUUGUUCAUUAAAUAAACAUUUAUUAAGC
rnacentral:lncRNA from 1 species